GCAUCUCCCUUACACUGAGAAGUCACCCGUGCAAGUCGGAUCACCCUGA
rnacentral:tRNA from 1 species